AGCAACAAAUGCCCUGCUUCCAGGAAAAGCCUCUAAGCAUCAGGUAACAUCAAAUCGUACCCCAAACCGACACAGGUGGUCAGGUAGAGAAUACCAAGGCGCUUGAGAGAACUCGGGUGAAGGAACUAGGCAAAAUGGUGCCGUAACUUCGGGAGAAGGCACGCUGACACGUAGGUGAAGUGAUUUACUCAUGGAGCUGAAGUCAGUCGAAGAUACCAGCUGGCUGCAACUGUUUAUUAAAAACACAGCACUGUGCAAACACGAAAGUGGACGUAUACGGUGUGACGCCUGCCCGGUGCCGGAAGGUUAAUUGAUGGGGUCAGCGCAAGCGAAGCUCCUGAUCGAAGCCCCGGUAAACGGCGGCCGUAACUAUAACGGUCCUAAGGUAGCGAAAUUCCUUGUCGGGUAAGUUCCGACCUGCACGAAUGGCGUAAUGAUGGCCAGGCUGUCUCCACCCGAGACUCAGUGAAAUUGAACUCGCUGUGAAGAUGCAGUGUACCCGCGGCAAGACGGAAAGACCCCGUGAACCUUUACUAUAGCUUGACACUGAACAUUGAGCCUUGAUGUGUAGGAUAGGUGGGAGGCUUUGAAGUGUGGACGCCAGUCUGCAUGGAGCCGACCUUGAAAUACCACCCUUUAAUGUUUGAUGUUCUAACGUGGACCCGUGAUCCGGGUUGCGGACAGUGUCUGGUGGGUAGUUUGACUGGGGCGGUCUCCUCCUAAAGAGUAACGGAGGAGCACGAAGGUUGGCUAAUCCUGGUCGGACAUCAGGAGGUUAGUGCAAUGGCAUAAGCCAGCUUGACUGCGAGCGUGACGGCGCGAGCAGGUGCGAAAGCAGGUCAUAGUGAUCCGGUGGUUCUGAAUGGAAGGGCCAUCGCUCAACGGAUAAAAGGUACUCCGGGGAUAACAGGCUGAUACCGCCCAAGAGUUCAUAUCGACGGCGGUGUUUGGCACCUCGAUGUCGGCUCAUCACAUCCUGGGGCUGAAGUAGGUCCCAAGGGUAUGGCUGUUCGCCAUUUAAAGUGGUACGCGAGCUGGGUUUAGAACGUCGUGAGACAGUUCGGUCCCUAUCUGCCGUGGGCGCUGGAGAACUGAGGGGGGCUGCUCCUAGUACGAGAGGACCGGAGUGGACGCAUCACUGGUGUUCGGGUUGUCAUGCCAAUGGCACUGCCCGGUAGCUAAAUGCGGAAGAGAUAAGUGCUGAAAGCAUCUAAGCACGAAACUUGCCCCGAGAUGAGUUCUCCCUGAGACUUAAAGUCUCCUGAAGGAACGUUGAAGACGACGACGUUGAUAGGCCGGGUGUGUAAGCGCAGCGAUGCGUUGAGCUAACCGGUACUAAUGAACCGUGAGGCUUAACCUUACAACGCCGAA
rnacentral:rRNA from 2 species